UACGAAGGGGGCGAGCGUUGUUCGGAAUUACUGGGCGUAAAGGGCGUGUAGGCGGUUUAUUAAGUCGGGCGUGAAAGCCCAGGGCUCAACCCUGGAACUGCGCCCGAGACUGGUAAGCUUGAGUUCGGAAGAGGUGCGUGGAAUUCCCAGUGGAGAGGUGAAAUUCGUAGAGAUUGGGAAGAACACCAGCGGCGAAGGCGGCGCACUGGUCCGAUACUGACGCUGAGGCGCGACAGCGUGGGGAGCAAACAGG
rnacentral:rRNA from 1 species